rnacentral:rRNA from 1 species
AUUGAACACUGGCGGCAGGCCUAACACAUGCCAGUCGAGCGGAUGAAGGGAGCUUGCUCCUGGAUUCAGCGGCGGACGGGUGAGUAAUGCCUAGGAAUCUGCCUGGUAGUGGGGGAUAACGUCCGGAAACGGGCGCUAAUACCGCAUACGUCCUGAGGGAGAAAGUGGGGGAUCUUCGGACCUCACGCUAUCAGAUGAGCCUAGGUCGGAUUAGCUAGUUGGUGGGGUAAAGGCCUACCAAGGCGACGAUCCGUAACUGGUCUGAGAGGAUGAUCAGUCACACUGGAACUGAGACACGGUCCAGACUCCUACGGGAGGCAGCAGUGGGGAAUAUUGGACAAUGGGCGAAAGCCUGAUCCAGCCAUGCCGCGUGUGUGAAGAAGGUCUUCGGAUUGUAAAGCACUUUAAGUUGGGAGGAAGGGCAGUAAGUUAAUACCUUGCUGUUUUGACGUUACCAACAGAAUAAGCACCGGCUAACUUCGUG